ensembl:miRNA
AGGUUGGUGCAAAAGUAAUUGCGGAUUUUGCCAUACUUUUAACGGCAAAAACUGCAAAUAUUAUUGCACCAACCUAU